UACGGGGGGGGCAAGCGUUGUUCGGAAUUACUGGGCGUAAAGGGCUCGUAGGCGGCCAACUAAGUCAGACGUGAAAUCCCUCGGCUUAACCUGGGAACUGCAGUCGGGACUGUCUAGCUAGAGUAUGGGAGAGGGAAGUGGAAUUUCAGGUGUAGCGGUGAAAUGCGUAGAUAUCUGAAGGAACAUCAGUGGCGAAAGCGACUUCCUGGACCAAUACUGACGCUCAUGUGCGAAAGCGUGGGGAGCAAACAGG
rnacentral:rRNA from 1 species